CAGAGUGGCCUUGCUGCCACGAUCCACUGAGAUUCAGCCCUUUGUCGCUAAGAUUCGACCCUCCCUAAAUCACUCCAAAAAACAAUCCCCAAUUCUACACAAGUGUUUCUACACUAACAAAGCAACAGCUCCUUAACGAAUUCCCAACUUUACACGAGCUCGUCUCUCGAGGUUAAAUGUUAUUACUUGGUAAGAUUCCGGACCUCGCCAAGUGUUUUGAAAACCCGCAACGCUCGCAAAGGUGCAUAGUGAGAAGAAUAAGUGAAGAGACAGACUUGUCCAAAACGCUCACGAAGGUGCAUAGUGAGAAGAGUAAGUCAAGAGACAGACUUGUCCAAAAAAGAAACAAAAGAGAAUGCUUGGGGUUACACUCACGAAGGUGCAUAGUGAGAAGAGUAAGUCAAGAGCAGACUUGUUCAAAAAGAACCAGAAGAGAAUGCUUGGGGAGAUAGAAGUGUGAGAUAGUUCUCAAGCUAAGAAAGUUGUAAAAGCUAAGAACUAGCAUCAAAUGAUGGAUGAAACACAAGGUAGUUGUUGAAAAGUCAAACACUUGGUGAUAUGAACACAAACGUUCAAUAUGACAAACCCAUGCCAAGUAAAGAGAAAAUGAAAACUGGUGAUUGUUGCGGAAAUCGUCCCAGGAUUCCUCGACCAGGACUUGAAAUCGUCCGAGGGAAAAUAAUCGGUUCCGAGGAAUCGUCGAUCCGGACUUGGAAUCGUCGAGAAAAGUUUACCGGGUCCGAGGAAUCGUCGAU
rnacentral:misc_RNA from 1 species